rnacentral:tRNA from 2 species
GCACCUCUAGCUCAAUUGGUAGAGCAUCGGACUCUUAAUCCGCAGGUUCUGGGUUCAAGUCCCAGGGGGUGCA